GUGCUCGCUUCGGCAGCACGUGUACUAAAAUUGGAACGAUACAGAGAAGAUUAGCACGGCCCCUGUGCAAGGAUGACACGAAGGGAAAAAUAAAUAAAAUCA